rnacentral:lncRNA from 1 species
CUGGCAUGUGAAAAUGCAAUAAGUAGCUUUAGAGCCAAAUGGAAUAUACAAAUGUGUAGCAAUGUCAUCUUUGCUAUUCUAUUCUGGUCAAGAGAAGGCAUAUGCUGAUUGAGAAGAUACCAACAUAUACAGCUGCUAAUAGUUACUCUAACUCAACAUGUGUUAAGACCAAAGAAUAGUUGUCAUCUGGCGCAAGUGCUGAGCCUCUUUCAGAUGAGGCAAUGGGGUACAAGUCUAUUACCUCUAGCUCAGAAACACUAUUCACCAACUACCCAAUAAUAAACACAUCUAUUCCACUUGUUUUAAGGCUUUUUAGAAAUCAUUAACUCAAAGUAUCUUUGUAAUUGAUACACAUCUGCAGACCACAGGGUAGCUGGGACAUAAUAGUUAUAAUGAAAGAAUGAUCAAGUGCCAACAUGGAAGGGUGUCUCAUAAGAGCCUAGACAUUAUAAAUAUAAUGUCAUAUCUUGCCUUUGGAAGGUCAGGGAAAAUAUACUUGUCUAUUCACUAAAUAUACUUAAGGCCUUGCUAAAUUAUUAUUCAUUUGAAAAAAAAAGCUUUGGAGAUAACAGAAUAUUAUAAAAUAUAAAAUAAUUGAAAUCAUGGUUGUUUUCCAUCCACACAGAGGGAAAAUGUUCAUAGUGUUGGGGGAAGAAAAGACCAAAUGAUUAACGUGGCUAAGAGCUCUUACAUCUUGAUGAGAAAAUAUUUAACCUCUCUUGGCCAUCAGAAACCUGACUGAGCAUGUUCUCAGUUUUGUCUGCCAAAGGCUAUUUUGGAAUCUGGGAACAAUUGUUUUAAAAGGAAAGAAAUUGUCUAGUCUAGAUUCCAGAGGCGUGUGUUGAGACCUUCCUCUCAUUUCUUUCAUUUACUCAACAAAUAUUUAAGGCAGUAUUGCAUACAAUGAUGAUACAACAAUGAACAAGACAGACAAAGCUCCUGCUCUUCAGGAUUCUACAUGCUACUGGUGGAGGCAAAGGAUUGGAGAGAUUAAGGAACUUGAUUCAAGUCACGAAGCUACUAAGAGGCAAAACCAUGGUUUUAGUGAGACCCGUCUGGUUUCAAGAAGAGUAGUUUAAGUGUAUUCAGAGCCCAUUAUGUACCAGUCACUAUGUUCAGAAGUUUAUAUCUAGACCCCUCACAACAGGUAUGUAUGGGUAUAAUAAAAGUGUAAGUGUGUAAACAUAGAGCCAUAUCCAGAAGUCUGAAUUAAUGUCUUCUCCACUAGGAGUAAACCAGAAUCAACCUACUACACUAAGAGCAGAAAGCCACACUCUUCUCUUGGAGACAAGGUCUCAGGAAAGGAGUGGGUAAAACACUUAUCUCCAGAAAGCCAGCAAGAGGGAAGAAGGAAGAAAACCCCAUCCUGCAUGGUAUGAUGCUGAGAUUCCUCACAUAUCUUCAAAGCAUCCUAAGAAACCACGGGAAGAAAUGAAAGGAUUCUCCAUCAGCCAGAUGGUGUGAGCGAGAAGUCAAGUGAAGACAAACCUUCGAUUCUCCCUCUGCCUGGAAGCUGCUGGCAUCUCCGUCCAAGUGCUGAACAAAUGGGACUUUGUGUGCUCUCAUGAGCGAUCUCUUUGAUGUUCUGGCAUCCCGAUUGGCAGCUUUUCAUAUCUGGCCAUCUUAGAGCAGGGGAGAUUGAGAAACAGAGAGAGGAAGAACCAGGGAAAGAAGUCUGGCUCCAAGCCCAGUGGGUAAACAUGCUGGCUGCCUUCUCACACAGAUUACUUUUCAAAAAUGAAAAGGGAGUGUCCAGCUUCGUUUGGAAUAAAGAUGAGGAAAUGACUCUCAGCUGUCCACACACAACAAAACAACCAACCACUACAGAGUAGGGGAGCCUUCCAUCCAAGGUAGACCAGAUGGGAUUUGUCUCCCAGACCCAGAAUAUAUGUUCCCCUUCAAGAAUGUUUAUACUGAUAGUAUCCUGAGGUUGGGGACAUUUUAAUGAGAUCCAUAGUCCUUACUUUCUGCAAAGAAUACACAGUCACAAACUUUCCUUCAGGACAAGAGCAGCUUUGCUUUCCUGAGUGCUUUCUAAAUCUAAUUAUAUAGAUGGAGGCUGUGUGGCCUUUUGUUUUGAGUUCAGAAUUAUGGGUUUGAAAGUCUGAGGUCCAAUUGUAGUUUUAUACCUAACUUCUUGUGUGGCCCUUCACAAGCAAUUAUUUCCUGUCUUAUUUUUCUGAACUGUUGAUGGGAUUAAGCUGGUAAUAGUGGAGGGGGAAGGGGUUUAUAUCUAGUUUUAAAUUCUUAGAAUUGAUUUCAAGACAACAAAUUAUCAAGCAUCUACUCUCAACUUAGUAGUGGGCUAAUAGAAAGAAGAAAAAUAUAUAGAAGAAAACUAUAGGGACUCUGUAUUCAAGAACCUUGUAAAUGACUUGACAAAACUUAAGUAUCAUACAUAAGCAAGGCAGUAUCCAGUCCAAUAUAUAUAAUUGGAUAACAUUAGCUAUAAAUACUGUAAUAAUUAGAAAAAAAUUAACACAUUACUAUUAGUGGGGUUAUUUGGCAUAGGUUUAUAAAACAGAAUAAAUUUCAGAUUAACUGUAAGAAGAAAGAAAUAAUGUAUUGACUUGUAAAGAGGAGAGGCAGUCAAAAAAAAUCAUUCCAUCUUUUAGAUAAAAAAUGAGCACCAAAUGGCUUUAUCAUGGUUAACAUCGAGGUUAACCAAAAUAUGAUCUGAUUAUCCUGAGUAGUUUGGAGACCUAUUAAAUUAAAAACAAAUGCUUAUGAAGAGAUACUUUGCCAAAUUUCUAGUGAGAUUAUAGCAGGAUUACCACAAGGUAAGUGACUUUUUAAGAUAUUGAGCCACUGUAUCUGGUCCCCUGACUCCUAACAUCAUCCCAAAGUAUUUUUUUACCUACUGUUUCUUCAUAUUUGUAUUUUCUGUUUCCCAAAAUGACAGUGUGUUUAAGCUUUGCUUAAAAGGCUUAAAGUUGUAUGCCU